rnacentral:rRNA from 1 species
CCUACGGGAGGCAGCAGUAGGGAAUCUUUCACAAUGGGCGAAAGCCUGAUGGAGCAACGCCGCGUGCAGGAUGAAGGCCUUCGGGUUGUAAACUGCUGUUAUAAGCGAGAAAUAUGAUGGUAACUUAUGAAUAAGGAUCGGCUAACAACGGGCCAGCAGCCGCGGUCAUACGUAGGAUCCGAGCAUUAUCCGGAGUGACUGGGUGUAAAGAGUUGCGUAGGUGGGAUAAUAAGUAGCUAGUGAAAUCUGGUGGCUCAACCAUUCAGACUAUUAGCUAAACUGUUAAGCUCGAGACCGUUAGGGGUAAGUGGAAUUUCUGGUGUAGGAGUGAAAUCCGUAGAUAUUAGGAGGAACACCAAUAGCGUAGGCAGGUUGCUGGGACGGUUCUGACACUGAGGCGCGAAAGCGUAGGGAGCAAACGGGAUUAGAUACCCUAGUAGUC